GCUCAGGACGAACGCUGGCGGCGUGCCUAAUACAUGCAAGUCGAACGAACUCUGGUAUUGAUUGGUGCUUGCAUCAUGAUUUACAUUUGAGUGAGUGGCGAACUGGUGAGUAACACGUGGGAAACCUGCCCAGAAGCGGGGGAUAACACCUGGAAACAGAUGCUAAUACCGCAUAACAACUUGGACCGCAUGGUCCGAGUUUGAAAGAUGGCUUCGGCUAUCACUUUUGGAUGGUCCCGCGGCGUAUUAGCUAGAUGGUGGGGUAACGGCUCACCAUGGCAAUGAUACGUAGCCGACCUGAGAGGGUAAUCGGCCACAUUGGGACUGAGACACGGCCCAAACUCCUACGGGAGGCAGCAGUAGGGAAUCUUCCACAAUGGACGAAAGUCUGAUGGAGCAACGCCGCGUGAGUGAAGAAGGGUUUCGGCUCGUAAAACUCUGUUGUUAAAGAAGAACAUAUCUGAGAGUAACUGUUCAGGUAUUGACGGUAUUUAACCAGAAAGCCACGGCUAACUACGUGCCAGCAGCCGCGGUAAUACGUAGGUGGCAAGCGUUGUCCGGAUUUAUUGGGCGUAAAGCGAGCGCAGGCGGUUUUUUAAGUCUGAUGUGAAAGCCUUCGGCUCAACCGAAGAAGUGCAUCGGAAACUGGGAAACUUGAGUGCAGAAGAGGACAGUGGAACUCCAUGUGUAGCGGUGAAAUGCGUAGAUAUAUGGAAGAACACCAGUGGCGAAGGCGGCUGUCUGGUCUGUAACUGACGCUGAGGCUCGAAAGUAUGGGUAGCAAACAGGAUUAGAUACCCUGGUAGUCCAUACCGUAAACGAUGAAUGCUAAGUGUUGGAGGGUUUCCGCCCUUCAGUGCUGCAGCUAACGCAUUAAGCAUUCCGCCUGGGGAGUACGGCCGCAAGGCUGAAACUCAAAGGAAUUGACGGGGGCCCGCACAAGCGGUGGAGCAUGUGGUUUAAUUCGAAGCUACGCGAAGAACCUUACCAGGUCUUGACAUACUAUGCAAAUCUAAGAGAUUAGACGUUCCCUUCGGGGACAUGGAUACAGGUGGUGCAUGGUUGUCGUCAGCUCGUGUCGUGAGAUGUUGGGUUAAGUCCCGCAACGAGCGCAACCCUUAUUAUCAGUUGCCAGCAUUAAGUUGGGCACUCUGGUGAGACUGCCGGUGACAAACCGGAGGAAGGUGGGGAUGACGUCAAAUCAUCAUGCCCCUUAUGACCUGGGCUACACACGUGCUACAAUGGAUGGUACAACGAGUUGCGAACUCGCGAGAGUAAGCUAAUCUCUUAAAGCCAUUCUCAGUUCGGAUUGUAGGCUGCAACUCGCCUACAUGAAGUCGGAAUCGCUAGUAAUCGCGGAUCAGCAUGCCGCGGUGAAUACGUUCCCGGGCCUUGUACACACCGCCCGUCACACCAUGAGAGUUUGUAACACCCAAAGUCGGUGGGGUAACCUUUUAGGAACCAGCCGCCUAAGGUGGGACAGAUGAUUAGGGUGAAGUCGUA
rnacentral:rRNA from 1 species